rnacentral:misc_RNA from 1 species
GAUGAAGAACGUAGCGAAAUGCGAUAAGUAAUGUGAAUUGCAGAAUUCAGUGAAUCAUCGAAUCUUUGAACGCACAUUGCGCCCCUUGGUAUUCCGGGGGGCAUGCCUGUUCGAGCGUCAUUUGUACCUUCAAGCUCUGCUUGGUGUUGGGUGUUUGUCUCGCCUCUGCGUGUAGACUCGCCUCAAAACAAUUGGCAGCCGGCGUAUUGAUUUCGGAGCGCAGUACAUCUCGCGCUUUGCACUCAUAACGACGACGUCCAAAAGUACAUUUUUACACUCUUGACCUCGGAUCAGGUAGGGAUACCCGCUGAACUUAAGCAUAUCAAUAAGCGGAGGA